AGUUCGAUUAUGGCAAGAUUGAACGCUGGCGGGAUGCUUUACAUGCAAGUCGAACGGCAGCACGGACUUCGGUCUGGUGGCGAGUGGCGAACGGGUGAUGUCUAUCAUCGGAACGUGCCUAGUAGCGGGGGAUAACUACGCGAAAGCGUAGCUAAUACCACAUACGCCCUUCGGAAAGCAGGGGGACCUUCGGGCCUCGCCACUAUUAGAGCGGCCGAUAUCGGAUUAGCUAGUUGGUGGGGUAACGGCUCACCAAGGCGACGAUCCGUGACUGAGACUUUGAGAGGACGACCAGCCACACUGGGACUGAGACACGGCCCAGAACUCCACGGGAGGCAGCAGUGGGGAAUUUUGGACAAUGGGGAAACCUGAUCCAGCCAUCCCGCGUGUGCGAUGAAGGCCUUCGGGUUGCCAGCGCAUUUGGCAGGAAAGAAACGGCCUGGGAUAAUGCCCGUGCAACUGACAGUACCUGCAGAAUAAGCACCGGCUAACUACGUGCCAGCAACCGCGAUCAUCGUGGGGUGCAAGCGUUAAUCGGAAUUACUGGGCGUAAAGCGUGCGCGAACGGUUCGGAAGAAGAUGUGAAAUCCCAGAGCUUAACUUUGGAACUGUUUUUAACUACCGAGCUAGAGUGUGUCAGAGGAGGUGGAAUUCCACGCGUGUAGCAGUGAAAUGCGUAGAUAUGCGGGAAGACACCGAUGGCGAAGGCAGCCUCUGGGAUAACACUGACGCUCAUGCACGAAAGCGGGACCAAACGGAUUAGGUACCCUGGUAGUAUUCCCCGCUACAACGAUGUCAGCUUUAGCUGUUGGGGCCUUCGGGCCUUGGCAGCGCAGCUGUGAGUUGCAGUAAGCACCGCAAGUACGGUCGCAAGAUUAAAACUCAAAGGAAUUGACGGGGACCCGCACAAGCAGUGGAUGAUGUGGAUUAAUUCGAUGCAACGCGAAAAACCUUACCUACCCUCGACAUGUCUGGAAUCGAAGAGAUUUGGGGCUCGCAAGAGAACCGGAACACAGGUGCUGCAUGGCUGUCGUCAGCUCGUGUCGUGAGAUGUUGGGUUAAGUCCCGCAACGAGCGCAACCCUUGUCAUUAGUUGCUACGAAGGAGCACUCUGAAAAAUGAGACUGCCAGUGAUGAAACAAACCGGAGGAAGGUGGGGAUGACGUCAGUCCUCGUGGCCCAUAUGGGCGAACUGCGUCAUACAAUGGUCGGGACAGAGGGUCGCCAACCCGCGAGGAGCCAAUCCAGAAACCCGAUCGUAGUCCGGAUCACAGUCUGCAACUCAUUUGCGUGAAGUCGGAAUCGCUAGUAAUCGCGGAUCAGCAUGUCGCGGUGAAUACGUUCCAGAUGUUGUACACACCGCUUCGUCACACCAUGGGAGUGGAUUUUACCAGAAGUAGUUAGCCUAACCGUAAGGAGGGCGAUUACCACGGUAGGAUUCAUGACUGGGGUGAAGUCGUAACAAGGUAGCUCU
rnacentral:rRNA from 1 species